CUGACGAAAUUAAAAUACUUUCGAUUUUGGCACGUGAUGAUUCGAGAGACAAAGAAACUGGAUCGGCAGUGAAACUUGUGACGUCGACCUAGAAUAAUCUACCAUGUUUCGGUUCAGCUUUUCUUCUAAAAGUUGAUCCGAGAUCCCAAAAUGAAAAGUGGGAAGAAGAAGAAGAAGAAGAAGGAAACAUCCAGGUGUGAGGCAUCCCGAAGAGUUUGAACGACGGGCGGUCCAUAGAAGGAAAUGUCACUUAACAAACUAUCCGACGACUACCAGAUCUUGCUCAAGACGAUCUUUGCCGAGUGUAGGGGAGAGCCGGUGCUCGGACAGAAAGCAGUUGCUUGGGUCAUUAAAAACCGGGCCGAUCUGAACUGUUCGUACUGGGGAGGUAACACCAUCGCCGGCGUAUGUCUUCAUCCCGGACAGUUCGAGUGCUGGAACGCCGAUAGACGUCAUUUGAUUGAAGAGAUGAUUCGCAAUGAGCCCGGUGUCUAUGCCAAAAUUGACGCUUGGCUACCUACCGUUUACCUUGGCUCGGAUCCGAGCGGAGGAGCUGACUAUUACAUCAAUCCUGAAAUAGAAGGUUACCCGACCUGGACCACCGGCUGUUACCGUCUUCAGAAAAUUGGCAAUCACCAAUUUUACAGAGUUCCUUUUGGAAUAUGAUGUGGCCUGACGAUAAUGCUAACCGCUUAUCUCACAAUACACCAAGCAAUAAUCAAGCAUGAACGUUGCUUUAAAUCUUGUUUCAGAUUUAAAGUCGAGACUAUUAAGACAUUGCAAGUUGAUAAUGUUAUUGCACUGUUGAAACUUUAGGAGUUUCUCCUUCAUACAUCAUGUAAAUCAAGAAACUAAUAUGCGGACUGUAAUCUAUACCGACUUCUUUCCACUUACCACCGCAACCGGCAUACGUAUUAGCCUAACCAAACGCGGGUAAAGUUUUGUUUGUUGCCACCAUUCUCGACCAAAACAAUUGACUGCAGGAGAAGAACAUGUUGCGAUUCAGCGCCAUAAACGAAAGUCAAGAAUGUCGGUAGAUGUGAGACGUGACGUAUCUGAGGGAAUCAUUGAGUAAACAGUGACAUGCCUAGGCACGAAACCUUUUCCCUUCCCUUGUAAUUUCAAAAAAAGACCGUAAUUGCCUCGUGUGGACAAAUGGCUAGAACUACGUUGGAUGAGAUAAGACUUCGUCAGUUGUUGCAUUUCCCUAGCUAGGUAUUUUCUAGUUUGUAUUAUUAAUUAUUUAAUUAGGAAAACAACGAUAGCAGAAUUAAUAUAAUGUUUUAAAACUAUUUUUCUCAACUUAAUUGUAAUGCAAACGAACUGGUGUGCAAGGGUAGACGGAACAACACGAAAGACAUAUUUAUAUGUUGCCAACAAUUCUUGCCAUCGUUUAUUUACAAUGUUGUAUGAUGAAAAAUAAGUUUGACAUGGAAAACUUCACAAAAAUCUAACGUCUUUGAAUUUGUAAAGUUAAUUCGGUUACUUCUCUAAAGAUAAUGAACAGUUUUUCUUCGAAACGUUCGUACGGACUAUGCAAUAGAUAAGAAAUGAUUUAGCAACAGAUAAAAAAAAAAACACUUUCUAAAGGCAGUUCUACCGACAAAAUAGCGUUAUAGGCUAGGUGGUAAACGGUAUAAAAUCGAGCGACUGUAUUAGAGACAAGUUAUUUGCAGGUCUUCGGUCUUCCAUUUUUACGUAGCUCGACAGAACCAAAUAUAAAAUGGCUCUUAACAAACAAUCCGAAGACUACCAGGUCUUGCUCAAGACGAUCUUUGCUGAGUGUAGGGGAGAGCCGCUAAUUGGUCAGAAAGCAGUUGCCUGGGUAAUUAAAACACGGGCUGAUCUUAACCGUGGUUACUGGGGAGGUAACACCAUCAGAGGUGUUUGUCUUUAUCCCGGUCAAUUCGAGUGCUGGAACGCCGAUAGACGUCAUCUGAUUGAUGAUGGGAUUCGCAGGGAGCCCGGUGCCUAUUCUGCAAUUGACGCUUGGCUUCCAACGGUUUUUCAAGGCUCUGAUCCCAGCGGAGGAGCAGAUCAUUACAACAAUCCUGAUAAAGAAGGUUAUCCACCUUGGACCAAUAACUGUUACCGCCUUCAGAAAAUUGGCAAUCACCAAUUUUAUAAAAGCAAAUGAAGAAAUAAUUUUCAUCAUUUAAUGUAGUCCUGUAAUAAAUUCAUAUGGACUAUUUCUAGUCCCAUGCGAGUUGCGAAAUAUAAUGUAGCACCUCGUUGAUAAUGCUAACUACUUAAGUACUUUACGGUACUUUACUAAUACACCAGGCAAAAAUCAGA
rnacentral:misc_RNA from 1 species